UGGAAAUAAUUUUUCACUUUCUAUUAACGCUUUAAGUAUUAGUUAAUAUGUUUUGUUGUUUGUUGUUUUAUUUUUUAGUUCUUUAUGAAUAAUAUUGAUUAAUAAAUUGAUAUUAGUUAAAACCCCGUUUAUAAAAUAACGCUGGUCAAGGGAAGUAAUUGUUGCGGUCUAUGAUUUUGUUUGUUGUCUAUGAUUAUCGUUCGUGCAAAUGGUGGCGCUGUUUGGAAAAUUUGAAAACAACACGAUUGGCAAUUUAUUUGGAUUUCGGAGAUCCUGGCCCUGGUUGAAAUUUAGAGAUUUGCAGCUGUAGCCUGUAUACCAUACAUUCAACAUGAAAAGGACUGUCAGGUUUGUUAAAUUGAAAUUUAUUCUUAUUAAUUUAUAUAUUUGAAUUUCUUUACUAUACAAAGUAUACAUUUUUCAACUACUGGAUAUUUAUCUUGUCUUAAAAUAUAUUAUUUUCGGAAUAUUCAUGUAACAUUAUUAAUAUAUAAAAUUUACAUUUUUUGUUGAUUUCAGGAUGCUGCAUAAAAUGGUCUUAGCUAGAGCUUAGAAUGUUAAUUUUUUGGGAAUAUGCUGCAAGGAACUGACGGGGAGCAAUUUUUCUUACCAAUCAUAGAAGCAGUAAGAGACAGCCAAAGAAGUACUCAAACACUUGACAUACCCAGAAAGAUCUAGAAGGAAAGAUUGGAACAGAUUGUAGUUUAAUUGUUAAAACUAUUGAAGUGAAUUUAAGCAGCACUUGAACUGUAUUUUUGAAAUAAAAUAUCUGAAGUAUUCAAUCUUGUCUUGAUAUUUUGUUAAACUUGGUUACUUUGCUUUUUAUCCAAAAAUU